AGGUGGAGCGCGUCUGAGAAGGCUACAAGAGGAAAGAGCAUAGAGAUUCGCAGGGGGGCCCAAGUUACUGUCUCCCUGGUGGCGAGAUUCCCCCAAGCUGCCUGUACCGAUGAUGACCCUACCUGGCCUGGGAUGGUUGCAGGACAAAUGGUGUAAACAGAAGGACGGUUCAACACAGACAGAAACUGAAGGCAUUGUGGACUCGAACUAAGACAGAAGUCCAAUCUGUAAGGACACAAAGCAAAAGAAAAGGAUUUGCUUACAAAUGAAGAUGCGGCCAUGGAUACCAUCGUGAAAAAAAGAAAACUCAGGGCCUCCCCGGGGGGCACAGUGGGUUUAGAACAGCGCUGUGAAGCUGAAUGCAGCAUCUGGAGCCUCUGCAGCACGGGUUCGAUUCCCAGCUGGCCAGGGAGAUUCCCACAUGACAAGGCAGACCUCUCCUGUCACGGCCUCUGCUCCCCUCAGCAGUGCUUUUGGUCCAUCUUCCUGUUCUGUUCCCCACUCUGUCUCUGGUGAAUCUUCUCACCCUCCCGCGCCUCUGGCCUGUA